UACGUAGGGUGCAAGCGUUAAUCGGAAUUAUUGGGCGUAAAGAGCUCGUAGGCGGUUUGUCGCGUCUGCUGUGAAAACCUAAGGCUCAACCUUGGGCUUGCAGUGGGUACGGGCAGACUAGAGUGCGGUAGGGGUGACUGGAAUUCCUGGUGUAGCGGUGGAAUGCGCAGAUAUCAGGAGGAACACCGAUGGCGAAGGCAGGUCACUGGGCCGCAACUGACGCUGGAGGAGCGGAAAGCAUAGGGGAGCGAACAGG
rnacentral:rRNA from 1 species